AAGAAAUUCGAGAUUAUUCAUUAUUAUCUUCGCAAAUGGAUGGAGGUUAUCGUAAGUUCCUUGUAUAAUUACAUGCUCAUCAUGCUUUCUUGGCAUUCAUUUUUAAGUUCUUGCUGCAAACUCAUCUUAAAAUAAUGAAGGUAACAUUGGUGCUGUUAGUUCUGGCGUGUGCCAUGAGUCUCGCUUAUGGAGACCUAGUCUGCGGUUCAAGCUACUGCAAAGACAACCCAUGCACGGCGAAAAUCAGCGCAAAGGCCUGUAAAACGCCUGCGUUGUACAGAGCCAACCACGCCGGCAAAUGUGCUUGCUGCCCGGCCUGCGUAACUUUAUUAUCUGAUUUAGCCGCCUGCAAGACUUACAACAAAAAAUUAGGAGAGACUCCAUCAGCAGUUUGUCGUGAACCACUCAAAUGCCUCAAGGGUGUCUGCACAGGGCUUAAAUAUGGUUUGAAAUACCACCAUUUCUGUUAAAAUAAACAAUUAAUAAAUAAAGAUUCAAAGAUUCAAAGAUA